AAGAGAGUAGCGAGUUUGCAGCAAAGGUGCUAAAUGUGUCUUUCAUAUCAUCUUCUGGGGAGAGAUGCCAUCAGUAGCUCAACCUCCACAUCCACAGGCUGGGCAUUGACUCUGAACUCAUCUCCCAGGCUCCCUCUUCAUCAAGAGAAAGAAGAAGGCAUCUCCAAAACAGAUAAAUGUGUUGCGGAUUGAAUCAGGGAGGAAUUCCAACGGAAAAGUUGACUAAAUAUUAAAAAACAUUGCUAUUUCCUGAAGUUUCUGUUGAAUUAAUUGUAACUCAGCCCUUACACUGACAAAACUAAUAGUGAAAUUGAUUUGUUUAAAAACACAUCUGCCUGGAUACAGCAUUUCUGUUAUUUUCCCUGACGCUCUGCUCUUAUCUCAGUAAAAUCUAUGUAUUGCAGUGCAGUGGCAGUAUUGCAGUCUUGUUCAAAUAAAUGUAAUAUCAUUUCUCUCUGAA